rnacentral:rRNA from 1 species
UACGUAGGGUGCGAGCGUUAAUCGGAAUUACUGGGCGUAAAGCGUGCGCAGGCGGUUUCUUAAGUCCGUUGUGAAAGCCCCGGGCUUAACCUGGGAAUGGCAGUGGAAACUAGGAGACUUGAAUCUGGCAGAGGGGGGUGGAAUGCCACGUGUAGCAGUGAAAUGCGUAGAGAUGUGGCGGAACACCGAUGGCGAAGGCAGCCCCCUGGGUUAACACUGACGCUCAGGCACGAAAGCGUGGGGAGCAAACAGG